rnacentral:lncRNA from 1 species
CAUCCCAGUCACAAAACCUGAAGGGCACACUCGAGAUUGAAACAUGCCUUUGAAAAGUUCAAUGAAUCUCAAAGAUCUAGGAGUUUCAAAACCAAUUAAAACCUAAUAAUACAUUUCGUUUAUCUUGGUGGAAAUUGGUGAAUCGUCAUUCACCUACCUUCAAAUAUUUUAUAGCUUGGAUUACGGCAUACCUCUUCUAAGUUAUAAAAUAGUUUGUUGGGUCCUAGCCUUAAUAUUUCAUAUUGGGUGUCAUAUUAAGGACUUUAAAUCAACUAUCUUGAAUAUCUCCCAAAAGAUGUCUGGUUUAGACACCUAUGAUCUUCCCAAAUCUCUUGAAACAAGGUUUCCUAAUGAAGAUGAUGUCCCAUGGAUAUCAUACUUCUUCACCUCUUCAAAUUAUUCUCCCUAACCCACAAGUUCUUGAAAAGUUUAAGGUCACUCAGGCCCUAUUGGCAAGGCAAGGUCUAGGUGUGGUCACAUCUUGGAGAUGUAGUCACAUAUUGACAAGCCGGGAGAGUUGGGUGUCAAAGUCUUGAGAAAGUUGGUGGUUCAACCACUUUCUAAGUCACAUAGUGAGUUCCUUUGGGACACCUAUGAAACAGACUAUGACAAGACCCUUAAUGAUCUUAUCUAUUUGCUAAGAUCAACUUCCUAAAACUUUAUGGACAUUGACAAUGAUGACAUUGGAUAUCCAGUAAAGCAUUCUCUUCCCAAUGGAAAGGGAUCGGCCAUAGUCAACUCGGUUGACCAAAUGGUAAAGAGAAAAGCUAAGUCUGUGAUAGUCCCGUGUACCAUUAUCAAAGGGUCCAUAUGUUUAUAUUGCCAAAGGAAGGGGCAUUGGUUGCGAAGCUGCCAAAUUUACCUAAGGAUGUUAAAGUCAAUAAGUUUGACUCUACUUCAGGUAAAGUCCACUAUCUAACUCUGUUAAGUUUCUAUUCUGAGAUUCUUGAUACAUGAUGUGACUGGGUCACAUGGUGAUGUUUUAAGAAUCAAAGAAAAGUGAAGAAACUUAAAGAAAGAAUAUGCUGAAUCUGAUGGCGUAGAUGGAUUUCUAUCGCAUAGUUUGAAGAUCGGAUUCUUGAGCUACUUCUUAGGAGUUAUGAGAUAUUGCUUAGGAAUAGAUAACAACAAGUUUUCAUAUGGAUUGUAAGGAUAAGUUUUUCCGCAAAGUUUUAAAAUAAAAGAAAAUUUUUUAUAUUUUAUUUAUUUUAAAAUAUCCUUACAAUGGCAUUUGAGGAAAAAUUGUUGCUUAUAUGAUUCCAUUAAGAGCAAGAGUGGAAAUAUGAAAUUGAUUCUUUCAUUUGUGGUAAUGUCUAAAUUUACCAAAUAAGGAAAGAUUCUCAUCACCCAAGUUUCAAUUGGACCGGAACUUGGAAUCAUGCAAGUUGUAUAGCAUGAUGAAUGAGAACUUUCAAGUUUUGGAAAAUUAAGACUAAUUACUUGUUCACAUGGAUGUGUGAGUCAAGUAAAGGACUUAGGGAUCGAGUACACAUUCUUGUGCACUGAUUAAGUCCACCACUAAAGAUCGAUAAGAAGAAUCAAAUAAGGCAGAAGGAUAAAAGUUUCUCAAAUCUGAAAAGAUGGGAGAGUACUUUAGUAUCAGUUUUGUGAUCAUCUUAAUGAUUAAGAAACCAUAUCAAAAUUAGUUCUCUAAGGAAAUCUUAGUGCAUUCUUAUGACUAAGAAGAGGAACUUGAAUUGUUGAAAUGGUUAAAUCAAGAAGAUGAGUCAUACUUCGUUCCAAUACAAGUCUUAGAGUCAUACUCCAAGAUUGUCAUUUGAGUGACAUGUCUUAAAGAAGGUUUAAAACACUUGUCAAAUGUAAGAGUAAAAGUUUUCUACUCUUGUACAUUUGAAAUUGGUAAGUUGUGAUGUUUUGGAUAAAACAAAGACCAACUUAGGCCAAUUGGGUAAAGUGUUUUUCUUGAUUAGAAUCCGCACUAUCUCUUGGAUGUUUGACAAGGGAGUCUUAUAUGUCAAGAGGACAGUGGGAGUCUUAAAGGUCUUGAAAGUCUCAAGAAAUAAUCAAGAAUAAAACCUAAAGUUCUUCACUAGCACACGACUUGAGGUUUAUAACCUAUCGUGUUGACAUAUCUGUGCCCAUUCCAGUUAAAGUUGGCUUUGCAUAUGAGUUCUUAGAGUUCUCAGUUUGUUGCAUAACAACUUGGAAGCAAUGGCAGGCCCUUGAGCUGCCAGGUGGCAAGAAGUUAAGAUUGAGUUCAAUCCAUAUGGUUUUGGAUUUGUCAUUAUCUUUGUCUUGUGAUUAUGGUUUGACAAAUUCAUAUGGGUAGGAACUCAUACACCAUAUAAAUCUAAGUGUCAUAAGGUUUCUCUCCGAUUCAUGAAAAUGAUGGUGAGGAAACGCUUUCACUAAGUAGAUUUUACGAAGAUAUCAAUUGUGUUAUUUGCAUUUUCAAAAGUCGUUAGUGGAGCGCGUGUGGUUAACCGGCACACUAACAUGGACUUGUGAGAAAUGGCAAAUGCCUAAGCAAUUGAGACCAUGAUUACGGUAUCCCUUUUCAUGGUUCUUGAAAUUGCUUAGACACACAGGUGAGCUAUCUACGGAAAGGGUGUAUGAAUCUAAAUUUCAGACUGUCCAGCUGAUUUCUGAGUACAUGUCAAAGCUAGUGGGAGCAUAAGUGUUAUGCUAAUAAUCAUCAUGUUAGUGGGAGCAUGAUAAUUAUGAUAAGUAUUGCAAGUUAGCAAUGUUAAUUAUAGAAAACAAAAGUUUCAAUUGGGAAAAAGUUGUUUUGCUAUAAUUAAGGGAGAGGAAAUUAUGCUUCAUCUCAAAUCUAUAAGCUUAGAUCGUGAGGUUUUAAUCAUUUAGUCAAGGAUAUAUAUGAAUUUCAUGUUGGAAUGGCUCAACAUAAGGAAAUUCUGUAUAUGGGUCCAUUAUUUGCGUUCUAAAAUUCGAUUAUGAUUACGGCAUCCCUUUUCAUAAUCUGAAUUAUGAGAACUUGGCAAAUUGAAAUGGAAAUAUUAUAGCAAAAGACUGGUUUAGUCUUUAUGUAAGACAUCAUGAAUCGUGUCCCAUAUGCUUCGGAUAUAGGAUCGAUUACAUGUGCUAUAUUCAUCCGUUCUAAAAUUUUCCAAAUGCCUGGGGCAUUAAGAAGGGAAAAGGUUUAGAACUGGAUAUGACUAAAAGGAUUAAACAAUUGUCGAGGACAAUCUAAGGUUUACCAAAGAUUGGUUACUCAAGGACAAUUGGAAGUAUAGUGAUAAUUCUGGAAGGACCAUAUUGACAUAAUCUGUAAGGAGGCAACUCUUGUUCAGAAGUGAUAGUCAAAAUGGAAUCUGGAAAUGUUUCAAAGUUAGAAUUUUCAAUCUGUGUAAGAUUAAGGAAACUUAAUGCAAGAAGGAUAUUUCCAAGGAGUUGAUCUCCUUUGGAAUACUCUGUAAUGAUUGUUGCCAAGUCUUUGUGACUUUGUGCAUAAUCAUUACAAGAGGAUCAAUGCAUAUAAGUUUAGAAUCUAACAGAUUUCAGUAAAUGGCAUGAAUUUGGAAUUCUUGCAUUUGCAGUAAGGAUUUGGGAGUGUGAAAAGAGAAUCAUUGAAGUUAUGUUCAAUUGAUCUAGUUCACAAAGUAAAGAUCAUAGACAAACAUAGUAUGCAUACUUGGUGUGUGGCAUGACUAGUGUUUAAGAAAACAUAGUGUACAUGCUUGGAGCAUGGGACAACUAUUGUUUUAAAUUCAAGAAUAAAGUUGAUAGCUGAAACAGUAUACAAUGAAUAAUGUGUAAUCAUAUGGUGAUAAAUAAAAGGUGUUUUAUUUAUGUUCAAAGGGUUGAUACCAUAUUGGAUUCAAUUAUUAUUGUGUUUCAUUUUGCAUGUUUUGACUUCCCGAAUAAACUGGGUUAUUCUUCCGGAAUGACUAAGUUAUUCAAACCAUCCACAGUCGGUCAUAUGUUGGAAGUAGAUAUGAAUUAAGACUGUCAUGGGUUGGCUUGUAGAGGUCUAAGGUGUUGGACAAAGGGCUACAACACUCAUGAGUGCUCAUAAGUUCUGAGUAUUGGAUUCAACCCGCGCUCAUUGGAAUCACUUCAUGGAUUUUAUCACGAGUGAUCAUGAGACGAUAAUAUCUUAUAUUCUUCAAACCUAGAGAUAUGAGUUGUUACUAUGAGUUGAUAGUACAUUGAUUGCACGAAAACGCAUUUGGUAACUCGGUGCUAUAAAACGUGCCUUUGUGUAUGAUUCAACAAGUAGUAGAACAAGCCAUAUGAGUCGAAGUUUAUCCAUUCCUUUUACCUUCGGGAUAAAAGCGAUAUCUGUGGGCCCCUCGAUGAUUUGAUGAUGACAAAUGGAAGUGCUCGGCCGGGCCAGGACUGAUUUGAUUUGUUCAAUUAGUCAGUCGUCAUAAAUCGGAAAUCGGGAAACAACAAAUGGACAGAGAGAAUGAUUAUAAUCCAUGUCUCAGUCCAUAUGAUAUCUAGAAUGGAGGAAUAUAUGAUCCCUUAUCUAAUGGACAAGUCAUUGACAAAGGUCAGAGUUCAUCUACAAGGUCAGAGUUCGACAGAAGCUUUUGAGAGCUACGAUUGCCAGUUGGUUCCUGAAGUCAUACGCAAUAAUAGUUUUAGACUUAUCCAAGUGGGAGACUGUUGGAUUAAUGUCUAAGUCCAUAACUAUAAUUGGUAAGACUUGACCCGACCCGGCAUGGUCCAUUUGGGUUGCAUACCAUCAUGCACUUGGAUAGACUAUAAUGAGAGAAAUAAGACACUUAUGGUUAUUAAUAUAUUAUAAGUUCUAGUAUAUUAAUAAUAAGAAUAAUAAGAUUAUUUAAUUAGUAUUGAUCAAGAAUUAAUCUAGGAUUAAUUAAGUGAUCAAAAGAAGACUAAUUAAAUAUAUGGGUUGAUUGUGUAAAUCAUCCAUACUUGUAUAGUGGGCUAAUGCUCCAUGGAUAAUCAAGUUGGGCUAAAACCCAUAGGAUGGUCCAUGGAUGCUCCAUGGUGUAUUUAUACCCAUGGAUCAUGGAAAUGAAAGGCCAUGUCAAUUAGGGUUUACAUGGUGUAACCCUAACUAUAUAAGCAUCUUAUUCUUGACCAAAAUCGGCCACUAGUGUGUGAAGUAAAAGGGCUAGCCGAUUUCAUGAGUUGUAGAAUUCUCUCAAGUUAUUCUGAGUGUGUUGGUGAUUGUGAUUCCAUUUGAGGCUUCCACACUAUUGGGGCUAAGCUCUUAAAGCUUGAUGAAGACAUCAAGCUACAUCAAGAGGUAUGUAUUCUAUCUUGCUAUAGUCAUUGUUUUGUAUGCUAGAUUAGGAUAAUACCUUGGAAGUUCUUAUUUGCAUGUAUAAUAGAGAAAACAUAGAUCCAAGGUAUUUAGGGUUGCAUGUACACUUAGGAGUGUUAGAAUGCUCAAAACCCAACAGUAACUUAGGGUAUACUUUCUUGCUCCAGCUAAUCAUACUCAUCGCGUCAUUCCUUGGUUAUUUUUGAAAACCAUUUUCAAAUUUUUUUGUAGUUGCUUAGUUUGAGUAUGGUUUCACACAAAUGCUCUUCCAAUUCUCUCAAACCAAGGCUCUGAUACCAACUUGUAACAUCCCAGAAAUCAUAGUAAACUUAAUUUUUUCAAAAACAACCCAAUAGCUAUGAUGUUUACAAAAUCAUUGUUUCAAAAGUGUUUAUCAAAUAUCAGAGUAUCCCAAAAUCCAAAAUCAUAGAAACAGGAAGAUGUGCAUGAUCACGCCUUUGCCUUCCUCCGAUCCUCUGAAGUACCUGAAACAAUAAACUUCAACCAUAAGUCAAAGCUUAGUGAGUUUCCCGCAAACUACCACCACACCACAUAAUCAACAACAACAUUCAUACAUGAGCCUUCAACAAGACUGGAAUGCCUCACCGAGCCUACAACUUAUUUGGACGGCUUUCCCAGCCUUCGGAUUGAUUGGACCGCCUCAUAGCCUGUCUUUCCAGGCUGUCGUGGGUAUCUUGGUCUUUAACACCAGCUGGUCUGCCUUUGUACAUCAAACCAUAACAUGUCAACAUAUACAAUAAGAAUCAAUAAUCUACAAACAUAGGUAGUCCUACAUAUCUACCAACCUAACAUAUAUCCAAUAUCACAGACAGUCCUACAGAUCUACCAGUCUAACCACAUAAUCAGUGAACACAUAUCUCAUCAUUCAACACAUAAAAAACCAGAAGAUCUAAUCCAAUGGGUCAGACUUGGUGCCUUCGACCCAUAAGUACAGUGAGGAAAAUUCACCUCGAUCUGAAGAUAGCAAAUCACACACCCGUGUCUGUUGCACAAUGACUCCUCACAGUGAACACCAUCACUGCCAACCUUAGUUACUAUCUAUGUUUAAGCCCAUAAAUCAUUAGGCCCAAAAUUUCCAAAAUGGCCUAUAGUCAAGGGUCCAAGAUUCAACAAUUGACCCUUACAUCGUAACCAGCUCAUGGUGACGUCAUGAGUAUGAACUCUACCCAGACCCGACUCAGCGGGUUAGCUCAAGCAAUCAACUUGCACAGUCUCGAUUCCAACCAUCAUCAUAGUGUGGCCAAUCUCAGGUCAUGUCAUGACCUAAUCCAAACAAAACAGUCGCCGAUGGCAUGCAGUCUCACGGCGUGGUAGUCUCAUCCUCACGUCGUGAGAGAUGCCUUGGCAAGCUUUGGGCAUUAAGCUCUUUUUCCUUUAACCCACUACUUGGGACUUUCCAGCGCGUCUUCCCUCACCCAAAGGAUAAUAAAAAUUAUAGAUUUUUAGUCAAGCAUAUCCAAUGCAUGAUUAAACACUCACUAGGUUUACAAAGGGAAAAUAAGAUCAAGAAUCAUGCUUGGAAUCUAAAACCAACUCCGAAACUUAGAUCCAAAGCUCGUAAUAUAGAUGUUGUAUCAUUUAUCCAUAAAGUUGCCAACUUUAUGGAUCCCAUGCAUGCUAUCCAACCCAAAUAUGCAAAAAGGAGCUUAAAACCUAGAUCUAGCAUGCAAUAUGUAAAAGGCCAUAGCUUUAUGACUUACAACGGUCCAAAAGCUCUGCAAGAAGGUGGGGUAGAAACUGGAUUGAAAAGAGAAUGCUCCACAAACAUCUUCUUCCACUUCAAUGUGUCAAAUACCACCAAAUAAGUUCUUCAAGGUCACCUAAAAUGGCUAAGGACCUCAAGCAGGUUGGGAUUAGGGUUUUCAGGAGGCUAGAGAGUGAAGGAGGCUAUGAUGUGAAACCCUAGACUCUCAUUCCUUUAAAUAACCGAAAUGUUAGGUUUUGAGUCAUCAGGACGUUAUCACAUCGUGAGGCUCCAUACCUCACGUCAUGAGAUUUGAAAAUGCGGGUCAGCUUGUCAAUGGUCACUCACGACAUGACAACCAUAUCUCACGUCGUGACCCUCUUCCAAAAGGUUAGAAAUUCAAGAAAUUAAGUACCUCAGGGAUCUGGAUGUUACACGAGAGGACGAUGUAUCGUUAUUAGUAUAAAUAUAAGUACUAAAACCAAAACCAUGUUCUCUGUUAUUUUAGGGAAAUAUGAAUAUUUUCUAAUCCAUGAUUAAUGCACAUCGUUCUUUACAAGUGUAUUUAUAGAGAAUGCGUGGUUGACUAGCACGCCAAUUUAUGAGGAAAAAGUUAUCAAGGUUCACAUGUUCUUGCAAGGUUGAUUUUCCCUCAUAUUUGUGAGACCUCUAUGUCCUAGAGGAUCGACAGACAAAUCAUGAAUUUCGUCAUGAGCUUUCCAUAUGGGACUCAUUCCACACAAUGCAUGCAUUACCUCAGGGAAAAAGGAAGUUGUAAUACAAUAAUGGGAAAAGGAGGAAAGAAACUUAUGUAAACCAUAAGCUAAAGGAGCUUCAUCAUAUACAUUUGAUAAAGAUCCACGAACAUUUGGAAGACAUACACUGUUUGAAUCCACCCAGAAAAACUUGCUUUUCCACCUACUGUUGAUCCUAAGGAGAUCAUGAACUAAGGGAAAAUGGCGGCUAUUAAAGAUAAACGAGUCACCAUAUUUUUUUCAAAUGAUAGAAGUACCAAAACAACAACACACUCAAAGGAAUACGAACAUACACAAAAUACUUCAAAGGCAAUAACCUUAGAAAGAACUUUAGGACACAAUUGUAUUAGAUGGAUACCAUAUGAAAAUAACACUUCACGAAAAAAGGGACUAGGAGGAAGUCUUAAACAAUAAACUACAUGUCGCAGGUAAAAUCCUACCUUACCUAUUGGAGGAUCAAGAAUCGAGGAACAAAAAGAAGGCAGUAAGAUACCAUGCACAAUAGAUAGGUAGUAGUCAUGAAUGUACUGGUCUAAACGGAAGUUGUUCACAUCACAAGUAAUGGCCGAUAUGUUAAAGGGAAUGGCAGAAAAGGAUGUCGAAAAAGGGAAGAAUACACGAUAAGAAGGUUCAAAAAUCUCAUUAACCAAUAUAUAAAGAUAAGGACCGUCUAAGCAUUGAUUAAAAAAUCUACUCAACCAUAUCGACGUGACUAACCAGCGAAUUGUUGCACUAAAUGAAGACUGAAACUACCCCAUGCGUGACAUUUCGAUUAUCAAGAGCAGUUAUUGUAAGAUUCCCCUUUGCUACAUAUCACAAUAUUGUCCAGUUUGGGAUCCCAGAAUGAAAAACUUCCUAGGGGUCACCCAUCCAUAAAUUAUUCCCGCAUGGUCACGCUUAAGUAUAAAGUUCUUAUGAGAUUUGUUGCCUUCACAAAUUUAAAAUAAGUUUUGAUAGAGAAUAUAGUCAUACCCCUAAUAUGGAAUGCUUUGUUCUCCUUCUCAAUCGAUGGGGAUCAGGUGCAGGUAUCCACCUUCCCCACCGAUUAUAUGGUUCCACAUACCUAUCGAACACAUCAACCCAUGCCAUAGCUCUGAUACCAUUUGUAACAUCCCCCUCUAGUACGUAUCAUAAUAUUGUCCACUUUGGGCUCCAGACACGAAAACUUCCCAGGGGUCACCCAUCCCUGACUUGUCUCGUCCGGGCACGCUUAACUGUAAAGUUCUUAUGGGAUCUGCUCCCCUCACAAAUUUAACACACAUUGUGAUAAAGAAUCUGUGCACACCCCUUAUAAAGAAUGCUUACUUCUCCUUCCCAGCCGAUAUGGGAUCAGGUGCAAGUAGCUACCCACCAUAUGUAACACCCACGUUUCUCGUUAGGCACAAUUAUAUAAGAUGUAUUUACAUCCGUUAACGACUAUAACAUUUUAUGAAUAAAUAAAGAGAAUUAUUUGAAUAUAUAUAUAUAUAUAUAUAUAUANNNNNNNNNNNNNNNNNNNNNNNNNNNNNNNNNNNNNNNNNNNNNAUGUGGAAAUUAGAUAAAUAUUAUGUGUAUAUAAUAUUUGUGUAAAAAUGUAUUUUAAAAAGUUAAUAAAUAGGGCUAAAAUAAACAUUAAAAAUAAAAUAUUAUUUAUGGUAAAUAGCCACGAUAAAAGUUGAAGUAGUCGUGAUAACGAUCUUAGGGAUAUAAAGAAUGCUUAAAUAUGACUUUGUAUGAAGAAGUUCCGAUCCCUAGAAGUUUCACGUUUAGCCGCAUUCGGCAGAGCGUGUCGUAAAAAGUGAAUUGAAUAUAGGUUUUUUAUUAGCCUAAGUAAUCUACAUUAAAGUCGUACUAAUCGUAAAAGCGACAACGUGCAUAUAGAGAACACCAAAAUCUGAUUUCGUACGAGGAAGUUAGGAUUUUUCGAUGUUUCGACGCAACAGUGUGGAUACAAAAAACGAAAUUAAAAUCCAUUGAUUGUUAGACAUAAAAAUUCUAAACAAUAGUUGAAGAUCAAGUGAAUAGGUAAAAGAUAGUCGAGAAAGGAGUUCAUAUGAAGAAGUUAUGAAUUUUUCACUUUCUUUUGCAGUGUAAUCUUCAUAGACCGUUAAAAUUAAAAUGGAAUAAGAAUUAGUCGUCAGAGUCUAAAUAAAAGUUGUAGUACUUGUAAAUACCAAUUCAUGGAUAUAAAGAACCUCAAAAACAUAGUUCGUAUGGGAGAGAUAUGAUUUUUUGAAAAUUAAGAAACUUGGUUCGACAAUGUGACGUCGCACCACAAACUGAGUGUGAUGUGUCACAUUUUCAAAGGAAUACCUUGCCAACCAAUCUAGUGGGUGACAUGCCCUUCGUCUAGGAGUAGCAUCUCAUUUCCUCACAACAAUUCCAAAUUCUCUAUGCAUUCUUCUGAGAUAUUAAGAUCAAGUUUCUCUAGUAUUUAAGAGUUUUUAGCGAUGCCCUGCGACAUCAGAGUGCCCGUCAAAUAAAAGCUUUCAAUUUGGAGUUCUGCCUGCGAACGUUCCAGAAAUUUUGUAGAAAACUCUGUAAGUUAAGCUACACUACUAUGCUGUAGGUGUAAUUUAUAUUCAUAAUCACAGUCGUUAUCGUGACCUAACAAAUAAGAUUUAUUAGUGAUCCCAAUCAUAAUACUAAUUGAUCUUCUUAGAGGGGUAAUGUCAAAGCUAGAUUUAGUGAGGUCUUUAAAGUAGGAUUUCCAAAUAGUAUACUCUUAUACCAAACAGACUCUACCUCAAAUAUAAUUUUACCUAGUUAUUCUUUAUCAACUAUAGAUCAUUAUUCACUAGGAUUAUUGAGGAAACUAGACUAUCAUUAUUAUAGAAUAUUGGGUAGAAAAGGGUUGAGAAAAGAGACAAGAUAAUGGUGAGUCACCAUGCUCAACAUUGUACUAUUGUACUAUUGAGACAAAUCAUCUAGAAAAGUAUUAAUGAAGACCACAAAACUAUUGAAUGCACUCCAAUGGAACACUAGCAGACUCGCUAUCUGUAGGUGUUAAUGAAUCAUAUUAUCCGAGAGUAUGGAUCGUGUGUUCAUUCAAUACUCUAUCCCCUCAUGGUUUUCUUAUUGACAUAUGUUGCUAUGAAAUCCCCAAAGUAGUAUUGUCUACUCAUUACUUUCAGCGAUCAUUUAUGAUAGGUCCAUUGAGAUCAUUAGUUUAUGAUUAAAGAGUGAGAAUGACGGGAAUGGUAAUCGGGUUAUUUGUUUGGUGUAAAAUAUUUUCACAAGAUUCUAAUUAUAUUGUUGUGGGUUGAAAGCCCUAUGUGCUCACAAGGCUCCCAAGCCUCACCUAUUUAGUUUCUUUGUAUCACAAGUAGUGGUACGAAGGUUUAGGGAUAGUGAUGUUUGAAUUUGCUGAGACAUUCGAGGAGUUUAGGCCAUUAGUACAAUAAUUUGUUGUAAGGCAUGUAAGGACAAGUUUAUGCUUAUGUUUUUUGUAUUAGUUAUGGAAUCCAAGGUUUUUAAGUAUUAAUGGAAAAAGUUUCUCCGAAAAUACUUUGAUAUUGAUAUUGUAUCAUAUCAAAAUAAUGUUUUGGGAAAAAUUCCGCAUUAAUGUAUUCUUUUUAAAGAUUACUCUUUUUAAAUUAGCAUAAAGAAAAAGUUUUUAAUUGGCCGUAAAAUUUGGGGAUGUCACAAUUUUAAUCUAAACGAAAAAACUUUAGCAUCAUUUUUACACUUCGGACAAGGGGACUUAAUGGUGUGCCCAGGUUGGCCAAACAAGAAAAUACCGACGCGUGAACCUAUUACCUUAAUAGCCAGAGAUCAGGGGCAGUACUAGGAUUUAAGAAUAAAGGGGACUAAUAGCCUUGCAUUGUAAUGACAUAUUAAGAUUUAAUGUUAUAUCCAAAUAAAAUAGUAGUCUAAAACUUAAAAAAAAAUGCCAAACAAAAAACAGUACAGAUUUGAUACAAACAAUGUCGAUCAUUAUAAGAAUCAAUCUUACAAAUUUCAAUAGAUCAUACACGUCGAGUUAUAAUCACCCGUUAACAUCAAUUUUAAAAAAUGUCAACCGACUAUAAGCAUUGACUUAUAUUCAUCCAUUAACGUUCUUAUUGAUUAAAAAAUUAAAAUCAUGCAAACGUACCAAUGUAGUGUAGCUAGAAAUAAUUUCUUAAUUGAAAAUGAAUCAAAAUAGCUACGGACUUUAUGUCGAUGAAUUGUCGAUUAACAAAAGCUAUUUGUGAUUAAACGAGGGAAUAAAUUAUAAUCAAUAACUACCAAGGAUUUGAUAUAAAUGGGGGUAGCAAGUCAAUGAGGGUGGAGGCGGUGGGACUAUUCUUAUACCCUCAUUAUUUUAAUUUCUCUUUCUAUAUAUAACAAUUGUUUUUUCUUUAAAUAUAAUAUAUAUAGAAGUCAUUAGUGUUAUUAAUCAAAUCAUUUGAACUAAAACAAUCACUUAGAGGCUUAUUUUAUCUAUAAUAUGGGUGGUGUUUUAAAAGAGAUUGAGAGGGCAGUGCAUCCGACAACCUCCCUAUUGUCUCUACCAUUGCCAGAAAUACUCGCUGUUAUGAAAGACUGAAUGACGAGUCAAUGGAAAUAUAGACGGGGCUAGGUCCUUGGGAAAACAUAUCCCAAUAAAAGUGCAACAUACAAAUACCCACAAUAAACAAAUAAAAAGUAGUACAAGGAAAAUAUGUAACGUCCCAAAUGUUACAAAGAUUUUUUUCAAAAACGAUCAAGUAACAUUCAUUCAUACGACAUCAGAGUUAAGUUUACAAAUUGCGGAAAUGAACAUCUUCGACGCGUAUGUACAGUCUUGUCGACCUCUUCUCACGAGCAACCUGCAAAAUGUUUAAUCCAUAAUUGUAAAUACAAAUAUCAUGCGUAAUGGGCCCAACCCUAGGGAGUAUACGAGCCUAGCCUUGACUUCGCUGACAGGGGCUCAAAGCAGGUCUUAUAUACAAUUGCCAUGAUCCAACCACGGUCUUUCAUUUUAGUGCUGUAAUCCAACCACAAUCUUUCCUAUUAGUGUUGUGAUCCAACCAUAGUCUAUACUAUCAGUGUUGUGAUCCAACCAUAGUCUAUCCUAUCAGUGUUGUGAUCCAACCACAGUCUUUCUAUAUAAUUCAUAAAGUCCUAUGUAGUCAGGGAUCAGAUAGACAUUCAAAUCGAUGGCCCACUCAAGAGCGAACAAUCAGAAAAGAACAUCACCAGCAGGUAAUAGGCCAACUCUUCUCAAGAUAUCCAACUUAACCGACAUAGAACUCAAUCCAUCACUAACACAUAAUCAUGUAGCUAAAUACAUAGAACAUAAUAGCAUGUCAAUACCCUUAUCAACUAGCAUUACCUAGUUCCUUGCCAUUGACUACUUUUCAAUUAAGUCAUUCGCUGGUCAUUCAUACAUAAUCCUGAUAACUGGUCCGCCCCAGUUACCCUAACCAAACAUAAUCCCCUAAUAGUACCAUACGAUCAACAUGCAAGACCCUACCAGUCUAGCAUACAAUGACACUAAAUUUCCCAUACCACACAUAUAUGCAAAAGAGCUAUCUCUACCACUAAUAUACUUGUGCUCUAAUUCCACAUCUACCCUAUCAUGUAAAGGACAUACAGCGGGAUUCAAUCCCAAAGCCAGAUCUACAACCCUAAAUCCAUUAAAUCCUUUAUAUGAUCUUAACUUGAUAAUGGAUACAAAAUAGAUCCAAUCAUGACCGAUAUCUCAUUCUCAGAAACCUAAGGACCAUUAGAGAGUCAUAAGAAGCUCUAGAGUUCCUCAAACUCCAAGAGCAUUCAUGGAAGAGACCAAAACAUCUAAAUGAGCCAAAACUCGAAACAAGAAGAACAAGGAUCAUGAUGUGAACUUUAUACCUCCAACAACUCCAAAAUCUAAAGGCAAUGAUGGAUCCAUGCUAUCUCCUUGCUCCCUUGAACUAAAAUGUACUUCCUUGCUUUUCAAGUUUCACCAAAAGCCAAGAACAAGGUCUCCAUUCAAUCAAACAAGCUCACCAACAUGAAAUAGGGAUAUAGUUUCGUUGUGAGAUGUUGGAGGCUGAGGUCAUGAGUUAAUGGCUUUAAAUAUGGAAGAAACCCUAAAAGUUUACAGGAUAGGGCUGUAGCUACUGUCAUGUCAUGACACUUUAUUUAUCACAUCAUGACAACCUCCAAAACAUGUGAUAUGUAAUGGCCAUGACACGUCGUGACACCCUUCAUGUCAUGUCGUGCAUAUGGUUUUGCUCAAAAAUCAUACCUUUGACUCCGGUAUACCGUCCACUAAUUGAAUCUGGAAAACGGGUGUUACAGCUCUCCCCCAAUUAAAUUAGAUUGUGUCCUUGAAAUCAAUCCUUACCUUCGAACCCCUUGUGGAUUCAUACAAGCCUACUUCCAUCCAUAAUCCAAGGUCACUGUGAGAGACAAAAUUUUGCAAUCAUCAACAGAAGGAUUCCCGUAACCAAAUACAUAACCAAACCUAAGCGGAAUCUUCCAAAAGAUCGAAUUCAUGACCGCAGAAGCACUGUGAUGAUGCUUAAAACAGACAUUUCCCUUUAAUCCCAAAAGCCACUACAAUCGUUAGUGAGAAAUAUGUGACUCGGCCCAGAGACAACACUAGUGUCUCACAACUAAAUCACCCCGAGGAGGACUAACUUUCUUACCAUAAUCUGAGGACUCUGAAAUGAUAUCUGACCUCCAGAUAGACAUAACCAACCGAACCUCAACCACGCUGAACAAGGCUCACAGAUCUGAUCUGACAUUGAUAUGAUAGCUGAACAUUCCAUCUAACCAAUCUCGACACAAGCUAACUCUUACCUUUAACUCGAAGGCUCUAUGGUUGUGCCUGUCAAUUUGGAUAACAAGCCCAUCCUAUACAUUAACCUUGCCGAAUGGGAAUUUGUCGGUUAGAUACAACCAAGAUCCUUACCUACCUUGCUUCAUCAAACAGAUAGACUAAAGAAUGAGUUCCACUACCAAUUGUUAAAACGGAUGCCCACACACACGGGUGCACAUCGAAAUCUAAACAAAGCCCAAUGGCAAAGGCUAACCUAGCCUAUAUAUCAACACAACCCUAAAAUUCCUUAAUUCUAACAUAAGAAUGACUAAACAAACAAUUAAAGGUCUAAUAGUUACUCUUGCUACUACAACUCAACUACAAUCUUUCUAGCGAUGAUCCAACCAUGGUCUUCUAUCUGUGAAUGCUAUGAUACAACCAUAGUAUUACAAUCACUUCCAUUGCUACAAAUCAACUGUAGUCUUCCCUGUCAUGAUCUGACCAUGGUCGUCCAUAUGUGAAUGUUAUGAUCCAAAAAUAGUCUUACAAUCAUUUCUAGACUAUAGCCCAACCAUAGCCCUUCUACCAUGAUCCAACCAUCAUCUUCCAAACAAAAGAUGGUUGAUGACCUAAAUGCAGUUCAACAAGAUGUGCUCUACUCAUGACUCUUGGUAUGCAUAUCACGACCCUCGAUAAUAAUAACCAUGCAUGCAUAGAGAAACUAAACUGAAAAUAAUUUCUUACAAAUACAAAAUGCAUGAUCCAAAAGCAUAUGUAUAAAUAAAUGGUAUGGCGUGAAAACAAAAAUGGAACAUACCCGCGAUAGUAUCUGAUGAAACUCUGGUCUCCCCUGCGCAAAAGUAAAAUGAUCGGCUCCUCACAACUGGAGCCUCUGCUCUGCCCCUAAGGCCAUCAAUAAUCCUUAAAGUAACUAGAGCAAGUGCUUUCACUAUUCCACUCGUCAACUUCAGACAAUCGAUGUUCUUGUGGCACACCUAGUUAUAGUGAAAACACAUUGGAAUCGAUCCUAUGGGACAAUCUUACUGAAAUUACCAAUCUGACUACAACUAAAACAUCCUCUUCUCUUCUGAUGAUAGUUUACCUCGUAUGUCCUCCCACACAUGGUACAAUAGCCCCGGACCUGAUGGCCUCCUACUCGCAGGACCUCCAGGUAUCUGAACCUGAUAUGUCAUCCUCUUCCCGAGGUGCUCCUAGUCAAUCUCUGAUUCUCGGGCUCUAUAAAUCAUAUCCACCAGGGUCUUGCAGCUAGACAUGCUCACAAAUUCCCUAAUAUCGUCUCGCAUCGUAUCAUGAUACUUCGUCUUCUUCAUAUCCUUAUCUGCAGUGUACUGCGGAACCAAUAAGGCUCUUUCCUUGAAUUUGGCAGUGAUCUCCGCCACAGUCUCAGUCGUCUGGUGAAGGUCCUGAAACUCCCUCACCAAAUGGUGCACAUCGAUAGCAGGUGCAAACUCCACCCUAAACCUGAUGGAUUAAUGUCUAGUUCCAUAACUAUAAUUGGUAAGACUUGACCCGACCCGGCUUGGUCCAUUUGGGUUGCAUGGCAUCAUGCAUUUGGAUAGACUAUAAUGAGAGAAAUAACACACUUAAGGAUUAUUAAUAUAUUAUAAGUUCUAAUAUAUUAAUAGGAUUAUUUAAUUAGUAUUGAUCAAGAAUUAAUUUAGAAUUAAUUAAGUGAUCAAAAGAAGACUAAUUAAAUAUAUGGGUUGAUUGUGAAAAUCAUCCAUACUUGUAUAGUGGGCUAAUGCUCCCUGGAUUACCAAGUUGGGCUAAAACCCAUAGGAUGCUCCAUGGAUGCUCUGUGGUGUAUUUGAACCCAUGGAUCCAAGGAAAUGGAAAGCCAUGACAAUUAGGGUUUACCCUAAGUGUGACACUAUAUAAAGAUCAUAUUGUUGGGAAAAAUCGGCCACUAUGUACAAUAGAGAAGGGCUAGCCGAUUUCAAGUGUUCUACAUUUCUCUCAAGGUUAUUCCAAAAGCAAUUGAUGUUUUUUGAGCCAUUUGAGGUGUCACACUUGGGGCACUAGGCACUCAAGCUUCAUGAAGACUUUCUACAUUAAAGAGGUUUGUAAUUCUAACUUUAUAUAUUCAUAUGAAUCAAUGUUAUUAUGCUAGUUAGGAUGAAUACCUUGGAAAGUUCAUAUUUGCAUGUAUAAUAGAGAAAACAUAGAUCCAAGGUAUUUAGGGUUGCAUGUACACUUAGGAGUGUUAGAAUGCUCAUAACCCAACAGUGGUGUCAGAGCUAGGUUUGUUUUUUUGUUAUACUUGCAAAACUGCUUAAAAAAUCGAAGUUGUUGCUGUUUGGGCAUCAGACUCGGCGAGUCAAUGCCUAAAAAGUGAUGAAAGCGAUCCAACUCACCGAGUUGGUUCAUGCACUUGACGAGUUGGACCCCCAGGCAACAUAAAUUCGACUUUUUGGCUGGAAUUCGUCUAGGAACAUUACCCUAAGAUGUUCUUGAACUUAUAAACUUGUUUUUGAUGUGGUAAUGUUCAUGCUAAUCCAAUUUCAAAGAGAUAAUUGUCAAUAGAUUCAUGUUUUGUAUUUAAGGUUUAGACUAAUUACAUGAAAAAGUUUGAUUUGAAUUUUCUUGUUCUUAUGAGUUGCUUAGAUUAAUAGAAAGGUUGAUUGAUUGAGUGUCUUUGAUCCAUUUUAAUCUAAGAAUUGAGUGUAAAAUGUGUUUGUGUAACUUGUCCUCAAGUUACAUGAAGAGUCACAUUAAAGUCUCUUAAAACUCAUAAAUGUUGGCAAAGGUUACAAAAUGAAGAGUCUUGAUUUCAUUGAAUGUUUUUAUGACUCCGUAACUUGUCCUCAAGUUAUGGAGGUUCAAGAGUCACUUCAUUAAAUCAUUAAAAUGUGUGACCUUAAUUAGUUCCAUAUGUUACAAAUAAAGAAAAGUUAUAUUCAUUUAUUAGUUUAAAGUCUUCCAUAACUUGUCCUCAUGUUAUGGAACUUGAAGAGUUUUUGGAUUAAAACUACUUUAAACACAUAAGUUAUGGAGUUAAUUAGUUUUGAAUAGUUUCAAAACUUGCCCUCAAGUUUUGGAAUUUGAAAACUUUUCACUUAUGAAUACUUUAAUUCCAAGUUAGCCNAUAUAUAUAUAUAUAUGUAUAUAAGAGUAAAGUCAGUCUUACUGUUAGUAGGCCACAUUCACGAAGCCGGUCUAUAAGGGGGGUAUAAGGUUAUUACCUAUAAAAUGGCAGUUUAAUGGGUGUCCACUCUUACCCACCGAUUCCUUGACAGGUGGAGGGUCGUUAGCCGAACGGGUAGGACAAGGACUAUAAUUCUCCCUUCAUUAAAAGUAUUAAUGAUAAAUACUAAGUAACUAAACCUUUUUAUAAAUACCCAAUCUUAGUUACUUAGGAAAAAGUGAAUAAGGUGCUAACCCAUGAAAUUACACUUUGCACUUUGCUUAAGUCGUUAGUGGAGCGUGCGUGGUUAACCGACACACUAACCUGGACUUAACAAGGUAGGAAAAGGGUAACUCAAUAUUUAUCAUAGUAUUGGUGGAGCGUGUGUGGUUAACCGGCACAUCGAUUAAGUGGUAAGUAUUAAGGGUACCAAGUAUAUAUUUGCAUGGUUACUUCACACCUUGUUUUAUGAUGCUCGGCAUCCCAGUCACAAAACCUGAAGGGCACACUCAAGAUUAAAACAUGCCAUUGAAAAGUUUAGUGAAUCUCAAAAGAUCUAGGAUUUUCAAAACCUAAUAAUACAUUUCGUUUAUCAUAGUGGAAAUUGGUGAAUCGUCAUGCACCUACCUUCAACUAUUUUACAGCUUGGAUUAUGACAUCCCUCUAAUAAGUUAUAAAAUAGUUUGCUGGGUCCUAGCCUUAAUAUUUCAUAUUGGGUGUUAUAUUAAGGACUUUAAAUCAACUAUCUUGAAUAUCUCCCAAAAAGAUGUCUGGUCUAGAGGUUUAUGAUCUUCCCAAAUCUCUUGAAACAAGCUUUCCUAAAUAAAGAUGAUGUCCCAUGGAUAUCAUACUUCUUUCACCUCCUCCAAUUAUUCUCCCUAACCCACAAGUUCCUAAAAAGUUUAAGGUCUCUCAAGCCCUAUUGGCAAGGCAAGGUCUUGGUGUGAUCACAUCUUGGAGAUGUAGUCACAUAUUGACAAGCCGGGAGAGUUGGGUGUCAAAGUCUUGAGAAAGUUGGUGGCUCACCUACUUUCUACGUCACAUAGUGAGAUCUUUUGGGAAUCCUAUGAAACAGGCUAUGACAAGACCCUUAAUGAUCUUAUCUAUUUGCUAAGAUCAACUCCCUAAAACCUGUGGACAUUGACAAUAAUGACAUUGGAUAUCAAGUAAACUUCUCUCU